AGAGUUUGAUCCUGGCUCAGGAUGAACGCUGGCGGCGUGCUUAACACAUGCAAGUCGAACGAAGCACUCUAUUUGAUUUUCUUCGGAAAUGAAGAUUUUGUGACUGAGUGGCGGACGGGUGAGUAACGCGUGGGUAACCUGCCUCAUACAGGGGGAUAACAGUUGGAAACGACUGCUAAUACCGCAUAAGCGCACAGGAUCGCAUGAUCCGGUGUGAAAAACUCCGGUGGUAUGAGAUGGACCCGCGUCUGAUUAGCCAGUUGGCAGGGUAACGGCCUACCAAAGCGAUGAUCAGUAGCCGACCUGAGAGGGUGACCGGCCACAUUGGGACUGAGACACGGCCCAAACUCCUACGGGAGGCAGCAGUGGGGAAUAUUGCACAAUGGGGGAAACCCUGAUGCAGCGACGCCGCGUGAGCGAAGAAGUAUUUCGGUAUGUAAAGCUCUAUCAGCAGGGAAGAAGAAUGACGGUACCUGACUAAGAAGCACCGGCUAAAUACGUGCCAGCAGCCGCGGUAAUACGUAUGGUGCAAGCGUUAUCCGGAUUUACUGGGUGUAAAGGGAGCGCAGGCGGUGCGGCAAGUCUGAUGUGAAAGCCCGGGGCUCAACCCCGGUACUGCAUUGGAAACUGUCGUACUAGAGUGUCGGAGGGGUAAGUGGAAUUCCUAGUGUAGCGGUGAAAUGCGUAGAUAUUAGGAGGAACACCAGUGGCGAAGGCGGCUUACUGGACGAUAACUGACGCUGAGGCUCGAAAGCGUGGGGAGCAAACAGGAUUAGAUACCCUGGUAGUCCACGCCGUAAACGAUGA
rnacentral:rRNA from 1 species